AGAAGUUCAUUAGCGUCACGCGGUGACUAUGUGGCUGGGUGAUAUAUUCUCCCGGCUGUAUAUUGAACUGCGACCCAAGGCAGCCCGGAGUGCCGGCAAAGGUCUAGGCAAGAGCAGUACAGAGGUAUCAAAGUCAUUCGUCAGAUGAUGUAGAUUUCAAAAGUUCAAUGAAGACAAAAUAAUUAUUCAUAUGUCUAUCACAAAUUAGUUAUUAUCUUCCAACAUACAGAGCAAUCUAGACACUAGAACAUGAGAAGGAUGUAGAAGAUGGAAGAGCGACAAAAGUAGCAUUUAAUUAAGUUGGGUUAUUGCUAUUUUGUCAAAAGCCACAAAUAAGCGUCUAAGAGAUAUAUGUCAUAAUUAACGUAAUCCAGUUGCGUCCCGCUAGUUGUGACACGAAGUUUGGCACACAGAGGCCGUAGGGGAGAAAAUGCGCCAUAAUCACGCUAAAACCACCUAAAAACGGUUGUGCUGCG
rnacentral:sRNA from 2 species